rnacentral:rRNA from 1 species
CGGUGUUCAACUGGCGUGUCCGCGGGACGUCCUGCCGGUGGGCUUAGCCCGCAAGGGCGGCCCAACUUCAAAUCCCAUCGCGGUGCUCUUCACUGAGUGUCGAGGUGGGCCGGCACGUUUACUUUGAACAAAUUAGAGUGCUUAAAGCAGGCUAAAACUUCGCCUGAAUACUGUGUGCAUGGAAUAAUGGGAUAGGACCUCGGUUCUAUUUUGUUGGUUUUCGGAACCCCGAGGUAAUGAUUAAUAGGAACGGAUGGGGGCAUUCGUAUUGCGACGUUAGGGGUGAAAUUCUUGGAUCGUCGCAAGACGGACAGAAGCGAAAGCAUUUGCCAAAAACGCUUUCAUUGAUCAAGAACGAAAGUUAGAGGUUCGAAGGCGAUCAGAUACCGCCCUAGUUCUAACCAUAAACGAUGCCAGCUAGCGAUCCGUCGACGUUCCUCCGAUGACUCGACGGGCAGCUUCCGGGAAACCAAAGCUUUUGGGUUCCGGGGGAAGUAUGGUUGCAAAGCUGAAACUUAAAGGAAUUGACGGAAGGGCACCACCAGGAGUGGAGCCUGCGGCUUAAUUUGACUCAACACGGGAAACCUCACCAGGCCCGGACACCGGAAGGAUUGACAGAUUGAGAGCUCUUUCUUGAUUCGGUGGGUGGUGGUGCAUGGCCGUUCUUAGUUGGUGGAGCGAUUUGUCUGGUUAAUUCCGAUAACGAACGAGACUCUAGCCUGCUAACUAGGCGUAUUUUCGACAUCUCAAAGGUCCGUCGUCCCGGCCCUCGGGUCGUGGGCGUGCGCGAUUUUUACUGUCGGCGUACUAUCAAUUCUUCUUAGAGGGACAGGUGGCUUCUAGCCGCACGAGAUUGAGCAAUAACAGGUCUGUGAUG